GAACUGAGAACCUGCUGCUGAGCAC
rnacentral:piRNA from 1 species